UGUAUGUAAAACUUUACGGCA
rnacentral:piRNA from 1 species